rnacentral:misc_RNA from 1 species
UUAGCGUAAAGGUAGGUUAGUAUUCGCUCCAUGGGAAAAGAGAAACACGGCAAAAGACAGAGACGAAUAACAUUUUUACAGAUACACAACCGUCUACACAGCAGAUAAUUGAACAAUGUAAAUAGCGGACUAUAUACAUUAAAAAAAAAACAAUAAAAAAUGAUGUUGAUGAUGAUCCAGCGAAGAAGAAUAUAAAUCGCAUGCUAAGAAAAGGAGAAGGACAUAUCCGCUCCAAAUUGCAAGAAACAACUUCGAAUCGAUACACUUCUAGGUACUAGUAGCAAUACCUACUAGUAGUAGUGUUUGCUACGAUGUUCUCCAACUCCAUCAAUUCCAGCUUGAUCGAGUUUACGCGCCCGAAUCAAUAAAGAGAAGCCUGGUGGGCGACAAACGAGAGGAAGAGCGUAGGCCUCGAGCGGAAGUCCGGUCGACUGGUAUAGUUUUCCGGGGUUGGUCACCCUGUCGGGCUCCAGCAGACCAGCUCCCAUCUGCGGCCCCAGGACACCACCAGGGCCGAGUAGUCCCCCUUCACCGAGGACCAAGGACAACAGGAAGGACGUCGACAAGCUGUUGGACGGCUUGGUCGAGUCAAGUCGAAUUCGAGGUUCGAGGUCGUCCGGUGUAGGUCCCGCCGUUUCUGCUGCUG